CGAGACCCCCAGAUGGCCGCGGCCGCGUCAUUCAUUUGGCAAGGCUGAGGCCCAGGGUGACCUGAGAGAUAGCGCAGCAGAGAACAGACCGCCCGCGCAAGCGGGUAAGGGUGAAACGGCGGUGUAAGAGACCACCGGUCCGCUGGUAACAGUCGGUCGCAUGGCAAGCCUCAUCGGGAGCAAGGCCAAGCAGAAGACGGCAAGGGCUGCUCGCCCGUGUCUUCGGGUAGGCCGCUAGAGCCUGGCGGCAACGUCAGGUCGAGAUGGAUGGCCAUCCGCGUGGCGACACGCGACAGAACCCGGGGUAUCGGGGGUCUCGCUUU
rnacentral:RNase_P_RNA from 1 species